UGAAUACGAGAUGCUACGGCGUCGAAGCAGUCUAUGUCAUACUUCCAAGAAAAGCUCGCACUGUCAUAAACAAAUAAUGCCUGUACCAUAACCGACACAGGUGGGUAGGUAGAGUAUACUAAGGGGCGCGAGAUAACUCUCUCUAAGGAACUCGGCAAAAUGACUCCGUAACUUCGGGAGAAGGAGUGCCUUAUUUAUAAGGUUGCAAUAACAAGAUCCAAGCAACUGUUUAUCAAAAACACAGGUCUCCGCUAAGUCGUAAGACGAUGUAUGGGGGCUGACGCCUGCCCAGUGCCAGAAGGUUAAAGAAGUUGGUUAGCAUUCGCGAAGCUGAUAACUGAAGCCCUGGUGAACGGCGGCCGUAACUAUAACGGUCCUAAGGUAGCGAAAUUCCUUGUCGGGUAAGUUCCGACCCGCACGAAAGGCGUAAUGAUUUGGAUACUGUCUCGGAGAGGGGCUCGGUGAAAUAGACUUGUCUGUGAAGAUGCGGACUACCUGCACCAGGACAGAAAGACCCUAUGAAGCUUUACUGUAACUUGAGAUUGAAAUUGGACUUUGCUUGCGCAGUAUAGGUGGGAGGCGUUGAUAAUAUUCUUGCGGGAUUAUUUGAGCCAUCAGUGAGAUACCACUCUUGUAAUGUUAGAUUUCUAACUUUGUAUCAUUAUCUGGUCAAAGGACAGUUUCAGGCGGGCAGUUUGACUGGGGCGGUCGCCUCCUAAACGGUAACGGAGGCGCACAAAGGUUUCCUCUGAACGGGUAGAAAUCGUAUCUAGAGUGUAAAGGCAUAAGGAAGCUUGACUGUGAGACCUACAAGUCGAGCAGGGACGAAAGUCGGUCUUAGUGAUCUGACGGUGCUGAGUGGAAAGGCCGUCACUCAACGGAUAAAAGUUACUCUAGGAUAACAGGCUGAUCUCCCCCAAGAGUUCACAUCGACGGGGAGGUUUGGCACCUCGAUGUCGGCUCAUCGCAUCCUGGGGCGGUAGUACGCCCCAAGGGUUGGGCUGUUCGCCCAUGAAAGCGGUACGCGAGCUGGGUUCAGAACGUCGUGAGACAGUUCGGUCCAUAUCCGGUGUAGGCGUUAGAAUAUUGAGAGGAGCCUUCUUUAGUACGAGAGGACCGAGAAGGACAUACCUCUGGUGUACCAGUUAUCGUGCCAACGGUAAACGCUGGGUAGCUAUGUAUGGAGUGGAUAACCGCUGAAAGCAUCUAAGUGGGAAGCCCACCUCAAGAUAAGUAUUCU
rnacentral:rRNA from 1 species